rnacentral:rRNA from 1 species
AGUCUGGUGCCAGCAGCCGCGGUAAUUCCAGCUCCAAUAGCGUAUAUUAAAGUUGUUGCAGUUAAAAAGCUCGUAGUUGGAUUUGUGGUUUACGCAAGGCUUCCGUCCCUCUUGGGUUUCGGUGUUGCCUGGCGUUGCCAUCCUUGGGUGGAAUCUGUGUGGCAUUAGGUUGUCGUGCAGGGGAUGCCCAUCGUUUACUGUGAAAAAAUUAGAGUGUUCAAAGCAGGCUUAUGCCGUUGAAUAUGUUAGCAUGGAAUAAUAAUAUAGGACCUUGGUACUAUUUUGUUGGUUUGCGCACCGAGGUAAUGAUUAACAGGGUCAACUGGGGAUAUUCGUAUUCCGCCGUCAGAGGUGAAAUUCUUGGAUUUUUGGAAGACGAACUACUGCGAAAGCAUUUAUCAAGGAUGUUUUCAUUAAUCAAGAACGAAAGUUAGGGGAUCGAAGAUGAUUAGAUACCAUCGUAGUCUUAACCAUAAACUAUGCCGACAAGGGAUUGGUGGAGUAUCGUUACGUCUCCAUCAGCACCUUAUGAGAAAUCAAAAGUCUUUGGGUUCCGGGGGGAGUAUGGUCGCAAGGCUGAAACUUAAAGAAAUUGACGGAAGGGCACCACCAGGAGUGGAGCCUGCGGCCUAAUUUGACCCAACACGGGAAAACUUACCAGGUCCAGACAUAGUGAGGAUUGACAGAUUGAGAGCUCUUUCUUGAUUCUAUGGGUGGUGGUGCAUUGCCGUUCUUAGUUGGUGGAGUGAUUUGUCUGGUUAAUUCCGUUAACGAACGAGACCCCUGCCUGCUAAAUAGCCCAGUGAGUGAUUUUUCACUGACUGUUGGCUUCUUAGAGGGACGUGCAUUCUAUUAGAUGCAGGAAGAUAGGGGCAAUAACAGGUCUGUGAUGCCCUUAGAUGUCCUGGGCCGCACGCGCGCUACACUGAUGAAUUCAACGAGUUUUUUCCUUGGCCGAGAGGCCUGGGCAAUCUUUUGAACGUUCAUCGUGAUAGGGAUAGAUUAUUGCAAUUAUUAAUCUUGAACGAGGAAUUCCUAGUAAACGCAGAUCAUCAAUCUGCAUUGAUUACGUCCCCCCCCUUUGUACACACCGCCCGUCGCACCUACCGAUUGAAUGGUCCGGUGAAGCCUCGGGAUUGUGGUCAGUUUGCUUUAUUGCGAGUUGAUUGCGAGAACUUGUCUAAACCUUAUCAUUUAGAGGAAGGUGAAGUC